rnacentral:lncRNA from 1 species
GCUCACUAUCAAAAACUCCAUCUUCUUUGAUUGUUGAAGAACAACUUAAAAAAAAUAUAAAAUCUCUUUAUACCAUCAAAAAUUCUCUCUCAAAACUCUAACACCUUAGCAGCUUCUCUUUUUUUUUCUAUACAAAAUUUUUCUAUAUUUUUUUCUCUCUUUUUUAGGCCGCCCAACGCCUCUUUUUAUAACCUUCAAGAUCUUUUUGAGUCCCAGCCAUCACAAGGUUUUAGAAUCCUGCACGUCUUCUUGUUUCCUUCUUUGCUUUGGCUCGAGCUCCCUGACGCCUCAUGCCUCCUAAAAAUCCCGUAAGUCCCUUAAAAAUCCUAGCCACCAUAGAACUCUGCAUCUCCCAAAACUCUAUGCUUCAUUAAAAUCCUCAAACCAUGUCCUAGACGUGUCUCAGGCCCUUUUAAACUGCCUGCACGCAUGUCCACGCCCACAUGAAGCCCGUGAGCUGCAAUUGUACACCACGCGGCCCUAUUCCCAUGCACCGCAUGUGGACCGCACGGUGUGUCUUUGUGAGCCGUGUGAGAACCACAGAAUCGCCCCCUUGUGCGUCGCGUGUGAACCGAACGCGUGCCGUUGUGCGCGGUACUGUGAACCGCGCAUGGAUUUCUUUCCUCUGGGCCGUGGCUUGUGAACUUCUAGACCGUAUGUUAUUUUCCUCUGGACCAUGCGGUAUUGCUCUGGGCUUUAACUUAUCGGUAGGCUAACUUGGGCUUGAUGAUCGUGAACGUGCGUGAGAUGAAUCGAUAGCAUAUAUUUGUUGAGAAUAGUUGAUUUAUGAAUAAUUUUUUAUAAUUAAUAAUUUUUUAAAAAAUAAAAAAUAUUAAAUAUUAAAUAAUAGAGAUUAAAUAAUAAAAAUUUUAAUACUUCUUAUGUCAUAUUAAUACAUUGAUCAGCUGCCUUAUACGAUUGAUAGACCUCCGGAUCAUCGUCGACUGAUAGAAGAAUCUGAUAUUUUGGUCGCCCUUCUUGAUUUACUGCAGUCUAGACUUUUGCCUCCACAGCAUCUCCUGCUGUCUCCGUAGAGAAUGGCACACAUAGAGCUUGUGACAAAGCUCCCAUAAGUCAAGCUCCUGGAGUCCCUCAUCCUAAUCCUCUCUCCUCUAGAGCUCUGCAAUGUCCGCUUCCAUCCCCUCGAUCCGUUUAAAAAUAUCUCUAACCUCAAGGUGGUUCCACCGGAUGAGCCUAUGCCUCACCAACUCAAGCCUCUUGGUCAUUCGAUAUCUUGCAUCAUCACGGACCAGCAUUC